CCGCGAGCGCGCGGGACAGUCCGUUCGCCAACGCGCGACCGUGCUGGCCCCCGGGCUCUCCCGGCCCCCCCGCCCGCAUUUCGCCGACGGCGGGGCCGCAGCCAAGGUCACGGUGUCCGGGUGCUUGGGGACCGCGGGGAGUGACCACAUUCAUUCAUUCCCUCCCUCACUCAUUCAUUCAUUCCCUCCCCUACUCCGUCAUUCCCUCCCUCACUCACUAAUUCCCUCCCUCCCUCACUAAUUCCCUCCCUCCCUCAUUCAUUCGAUCCCUCCAUCACUCAAUCAUUCCUUCCCUCUCUCACGCAUUCCCUCCCUCACUUACUCAUUCAUUGCCACCCUCACUCACUCAUUCCCUCCCUCACUUACUCAUUCAUUCCCACUCACUCAUUCCCUCCCUCACUCACUCAUUCCCUCCCUCACUCAUUCCCUCCCUCACUCACUCAUUCCCUCCCUCACUCAUUCCCUCCCUCACUCAUUCAUUCCCUCCCUCACUCACUCAUUCUCACUCUCACUCAUUCCCGCCCUCAUUCAUUCAUUCCCGCCCUCAUUCAUUCAUUCCCACCCUCAUUCAUUCCUUCCCUCCCUCACUCAUUCCCUCUCUCAUUCAUUCCCUCCCUCCCUCACUCACUCAUUCCCUCCCUCACUGAUUCCCUCCCUCACUGAUUCAUUCAUUCCCUCCAUCACUCAUUCAUUCCUUCCCUCACUCAUUCCCUCCCUCACUCAUUUCCUCUCUCAUUCAUUCAUUCCCUCCCUCCCUCACUCAUUCCCACUCUCACAAACUCAUUCCCUCCCUCACUUACUCAUUCCUCCCUCAUUCAUUCCCUCCCUCAUUCGUUCAUUCCCUCCCUCAUUCAUUCAUUCCCUCCCUCAUUCAUUCAUUCCCUCCCUCAUUCAUUCCCACCCUCCCUCAUUCAUUCCCUGCCUCCCUCACUCAUUCCCUCCCUCACUCAUUCAUUCCCUCCCUCCCUCACUGAUUCUCUCCCUUAUUCAUUCCAUCCCUCACUCAUUCCCUUCCUCCCUCAUUCACUUCCUCCCUCACUCAUUCAUUCACUCCCUCCCUCAUUCAUUCAUUCCCUCCCUCCCUCACUCAUUCCCUCCCUUACUCAUUUAUUCCAUCCCUCACUCAUUGCCUCCCUCCCUCAUUCCCUCCCUCUCUCCCUCAUUCAUUCAUUCCCUCCCUCAUUCAUUCCCUCCCUCACUCAUUCCCUCCCUCACUCAUUCAUUCCCUCCCUCACUCAUUCCCUUCCUCCCUCAUUCAUUCAUUCCCUCCCUCACUCAUGCAUUAAUUCCCUCCCUCACUCACUCAUUCCCUCCUUCACUCAUUCACUCCCUCCCUCCCUCACUCAUUCCCCCACCACCUCCCACAGGGUCCCCAGCGGGCAUUUCCCUGUCAGGCACCUGCAGCAGGAGGGGCAGCCACACACCCUGGGUCUGCCUGCCUGGGAGGCGCAGCCGUGGGGAUGUGGGUCCAGGGCAGCAGGGGCAGCCUCCCCCAGAAUCCAGUCCCUGGAAGCCAUGCACAGCCCUGUCCCACCAAGACCAGCGGGGGCCUGGCCUGGCUGCAACUCCCAGGCUCAGAGCCUCCGUGGCCUGUCUAGACACCUGCUGUCCUGGCCCCCAGCCUUGAGGUCCUGGGAAUCUGCUUUUUUUUUUUCCUUUUUUUUGUGAGAUGGAGUCUCACUGUGUUGCCCAGGCUAGAGUGCAGUGGCGCCAUCUUGGCUUACUGCAACCUCCACCUCCUGAGUUCAAGCGAUCCUCCUGCCUCAGCCUCCCGAGUAGCUGGGAUUACAGGCGUGCACCACCACACCCGGCUAAUUUUUGUAUUUUUAAUAGAGACGGGGUUUCACCAUGUUGGCUAGGCUGGUCUCAAACUCCUGACUUCAAGUGAUCCGCCCACCUCGGCCUCCCAAAGUGCUGGGAUUACAGGUGUGGACCACCACGCCCAGCUGAAAUCUGCAUUCUUAACCAGCCCCCUGGGCAAGCCUGGCAGAGGGAUAUGGCCCUUUGGCUUCCUGACAUGGGCUAAGGUUCCAACGCCAUCUUUCUGGCGAAGAUGCCAGCACAGGGCUGUGUGGGGAGGCGUCAGCCAGUAAAAGCCGUGGCUGAAGAAAAGCAAGACAGCCACGGGCCUCGGUGGAUCCCGCUGCAGCCUCAGGCACAGAGAGGGCAGGGCUGGUGAGGUGGGGGGCUUGUCAUGAGUGGGGCUUGGGGAGACUGACUGGAUGUGGUGUGUGGCUGGGGAGGGCCUGGGCCUGAACCUGUGGGCCAUGGGAGCCAUAGAAGGUUGUGGAACAGGAGAAGUAAGACAAGGCCCUGGUUCCCUGUGUGUGUGUGGUGAGGGACUGAGGAGACAUGGCUCAGGCAUCUAGAG
rnacentral:lncRNA from 1 species